UUAGCGUGAGCCGGGGCCGGCAGUUUGGUUUCGGCCCAAAUGAGGGUGGUUAAACUCCACCACGCUAAU
rnacentral:tRNA from 1 species